rnacentral:rRNA from 1 species
UACGUAGGGGGCAAGCGUUGUCCGGAUUUAUUGGGCGUAAAGAGCGUGUAGGCGGCUUUGCAAGUCCGUUGUGAAAACUCGAGGCUCAACCUCGAGACGCCGGUGGAAACUGCAAAGCUAGAGUCCGGAAGAGGAGAGUGGAAUUCCUGGUGUAGCGGUGAAAUGCGCAGAUAUCAGGAAGAACACCAGCGGCGAAGGCGGCUCGCUGGGCCGGUACUGACGCUGAGACGCGAAAGCGUGGGGAGCGAACAGG